CCUACGGGAGGCAGCAGUGGGGAAUUUUGGACAAUGGGCGCAAGCCUGAUCCAGCAAUGCCGCGUGAGUGAAGAAGGCCUUCGGGUUGUAAAGCUCUUUUGUCAGGGAAGAAACGGUCUACUCUAAUACAGUGGGCUAAUGACGGUACCUGAAGAAUAAGCACCGGCUAACUACGUGCCAGCAGCCGCGGUAAUACGUAGGGUGCAAGCGUUAAUCGGAAUUACUGGGCGUAAAGCGUGCGCAGGCGGUUAUAUAAGUCAGAUGUGAAAUCCCCGGGCUCAACCUGGGAACUGCAUUUGAGACUGUAUGGCUAGAGUGUGUCAGAGGGGGGUAGAAUUCCACGUGUAGCAGUGAAAUGCGUAGAUAUGUGGAGGAAUACCGAUGGCGAAGGCAGCCCCCUGGGAUAACACUGACGCUCAUGCACGAAAGCGUGGGGAGCAAACAGGAUUAGAUACCCUGGUAGUCCACGCCCUAAACGAUGUCUACUAGUUGUCGGGACUUAAUUGUCUUGGUAACGCAGCUACGCGUGAGUAGACCGCCGUCGGGUAGGUACGGUCGCGAGAGUAAACGUACGAAGUAGAGUAGUACGGCGUAGAGAGUAGACCGACGGACGACGACGAGGGGAGGAGG
rnacentral:rRNA from 1 species